UACAGAGACUGCAAGCGUUAUUCGGAUUCACUGGGCGUAAAGGGUGCGCGGGCGGCCAAGUGUGUUAGGCGUGAAAGCCCGGGGCUUAACCCCGGAAUUGCACCUAAAACUACUUGGCUAGAGCAUUGGAGAGGGUAGCGGAAUUCACGGUGUAGCAGUGAAAUGCGUAGAUAUCGUGAGGAACACCAGAGGCGAAGGCGGCUACCUGGACAAUUGCUGACGCUCAGGCACGAAAGCGUGGGGAGCAAACAGG
rnacentral:rRNA from 1 species